rnacentral:rRNA from 1 species
AACGUAGGAGACUAGCGUUAUCCGGAUUUACUGGGCGUAAAGCGUGUGCAGGCGGUUCGGCAAGUUGGAUGUGAAAUCUCCCGGCUCAACUGGGAGGGGUCGUUCAAUACUACCGAACUUGAGGGCAUCAGAGGAAGGUGGAAUUCCGGGUGUAGUGGUGAAAUGCGUAGAUAUCCGGAGGAACACCAGUGGCGAAGGCGGCCUUCUGGGAUGAUCCUGACGCUCAGACACGAAAGCUAGGGUAGCAAACGGG